CGUGCAGCCUCCAGCACCAAGCUGGGCCGCCGCGUCCCGGAGCCGCGCCCCGGAGAAGCGUCGCGACCGCCAUCUUGGGCACUAGUGAGGCGGCGGGAGGGCAGUCGCUACAGCGGCCUCUGGCGGCAGCCGCCGUCUCUCACAUUUUGCUCUUUUGUUUGCUGGGCCCUGGGGAUGUCGGCUGCAGGCAUAGGACUCACCAUCUCCAUGUGUCUCCCAAGGAUAACGACAAGUGCCUAUACCUCUGGCCUCUGAGCAGGGACAUUGUGGCAUGACAGACACUACCUGCCUCUCAGCUACCAUCAUGCCCCCACUGGUCUCCUUCUAGCCAGUGUUACACAUGGUUUGGCUAUGAUUGUCAUGUCUCUCGCCUCAUGGGCCCUCCCCAGGACCACCCAUGGUUGAACUUGGGACGUCAAGGCAGGAAUCACCUGCUGAGGAGCCACAGCCACCCCAGGGCACUUCUUGGGGAAGGGUAAGGGGGCCAGUUGUGGCCCAGUGCAGGGCACCUGUGCAUCAGAUUGCCCUGGGACCUGCAUGCCAACUCCUUUCUCCACAGCUGUCCACUCUGGCCCAGCACGUCAGAGCUCCUUUGAAGGUUUUGUGUUUAUGGUCCUGAGCUCCAGGCGGGAGGGAUGUUUUGUGCGGCUACUCACAGUACCUGUUCAGAUGACAGCAAGGGAGCCUGUAUGGAGGGGCCGUGGUGAAGGCAGAGGAGAGCUGGGGCUCCACGGAGGUGGGUUGGUUGGUAGCUGGAAAAACAACCAGGAGAAGAUGCAGGUGAGGGCUCCGACUGGACCCAGUGGCAGGAUUCUCCUGUGGGCAGGCCAGUGACUAAACAUCCCUGGGGAUGAGAAACCAUCAGAUGGUGAGGGUGGGGCUUCUAGCUAAAAGUGGAAUUUUCCCCCCAGGAAUGGGAACUGAAACCCAAGAGCAUUCUACCACUGAGCUACAUCCAUAGCCCUUUUUAUUUUGAGACAGAAUCUCAUUAAGUUGCCCAGGCUAACCUUAAACUUGAGAUUCUCCUGCCUCAGACUCCCAAGUAGCUGGGAUUAUAGCUGUGUGUCAUGAAUGCCUAUUCUUUACAGGUAUGUGCCACCAUGUCCAGCUAAAGCUGAAUUUUAUGAGGUUCUGACUGCAGUUUGGCCAAACAGAGCAUCUUUACUGGAACUCGCUGCUGUACCCCAGGUUCCGGGCAGCCCUGGCACAUACUGGCACUCAGUUAAUACUGGAGGAAUUAGCAAGUUACCUGCCAAGGCAUCUCUACAGAAGACACCUGAGCUUGUGACUCUGGCUGUGAUCAAGCCUCAGUCUCUGAACUUUGCCUUCGAGGCCCCUCUGUCUAGCCCAAACCCUAUGGGGCUGUGGAUCCCUCCCAGUUGGGCCUGACCACUGUUGAGGCAGAGCCUGGACUGGCAGAGGCCCAGGCAGAAACCCCAAUGGUUCCCCCACCCUGGGGGCCCUUGGGCCACAAGCUUCCUGAUUGACAGCAGGCAGGCUGAAAUGCACUGCCUGCCCACAGCCCCCUCCUCUUCCCUGGGAUGGAGGGUGACCUGGCACCUCCCUGCCAGCCUCAGUGAGGAGAACGGAAGCCAGGCAGGACAACACUGGCAGGGGGCAGCACCCAGGGCUGCGGUCAAGUUCCGCAGCCCUCACGUCAGCCCAUCUCUGGCUUCCCACCCAUGCAGGGCUAGCAGGAAGGGCACACAGGCAGCUUAUCUGGCCUCUCAGAGCUGGUCUGGCCUGCAGCGCCCUCCAGGCCCACCCUGACUGCCAGCCAAGACCUACUGGGCUGUUGAGAUACAGGCAAUCAGAGAAAGUAAGAUGGACUUUGCCUUUGGGUGGCCAGGUGUGGGAGGGAGGCUCCAGGAGGCAGGGACUCAUCCUGUGGGGCUGGCUUCAGUAGGGGUGUAAGAGCUGGGAAAUGGCUGACCUGUGUCCCAGCCCAGUUUCCCCAGGUAGCUGUGGUUUCCGUUUUCCUCUUUCUUGGCUUCCUCCCACCCAGGGGAAGGAGGAAGGCCCCAUUCUGCCUUUGAACCUGGCCCUGUCCAGCCCUGCCCUCUGGACAUUCCCCUCACAGCAGCUGGUUGGCUGAGGCUGUAGAAACAGAUAAGACAAGGCAUUCCAACCUGAUCCUGCUCCAGGGCCUGGCCCGUGUCCCAACAACCCCUGGGCAGUGUCCAGGCUUGGCCUGGUGCCCUUGUUGUCAUCCCAUGCAGUCAGGGAAACUGAGGCACGGGGAGUUUUGUCUUAAGUAGCUCGGUGUCUUGCCUUGUGGUACUGGGGAAUCAAACCUGGACCUCACGCAUGCUGGACGGAUGUUCUGCCACCAGGCUAUCCCCCACAGUCUUAUUUUACUUUUGAGACAGGGUCUGUCCCCGCUGGCCUUGAACUUGUGAUCCUCCUACCAAACCAGCCCGAGAUCCGGAGACUUCAUCUGCUUGGACUGUGUGACAGUUCCCUCACACGCCCUCGGCUGGGCCAUAGGGUGCCCAAGCGCCUGGCCAAACAUCAUUCUGUAGUUGAUGACAGUUAUUAUAUAUGUCAUAAAGAACCAGAAGGCAGGAUUCAAAGGCUCUGCACACAGACGUUUUAUACAUUGAAGACAUCUAACCCAUAAAUGUGCAAUUAUUAUACAAAAAUUAAAAACAAAAUUUCAAAAAUCA